CUCCCAUGACGUCAGUUGAGUUACUCCAGAUUUUCAUCAGUGCAAGAGAGAGGAGAAGAUGUCUCAAGGACUCUCACUAAAGUUUGAAUAGCUUAAUCUCUUUCCUUUCCUCACUCCUGUGGUUGUUUGUUUUUUGUUUUUGUUAGGAGAGACUGAAUGGUUGCACGGGAAUAGAGCAGGGAACAGAAGUUGUUGGCAGCAUUGCAAAAAUAUUUUGUUUCUACUUGGCAUUUUAUCAAGGGACAGAGCAGGAAAACCAGACUUUUAAACUCACAUUGAAGUUGGGGAAAACAUCUUUUCCAGAGAAAUUGAGGGAGGAUUUGUUGAGAAGACCUAAUAUUAUGGCUAAAUGGCUUGUGUACGCUACCGGCCGGAUUGACGGGCAGUGAUCAAUCCAGCAGGGGUUGAUCAAUCGACCGCAGAUCACUUUAGCGUCAACUCUGGUACUCCACCUCAAUGAGAAGCGCAAGAGGAAUCGACGGGAGAGCGUCUCCUGUUGACACACCACGGUAAGUAGAUCUAAGUACGUCGACUUCAGCUACGUUAUUCACGUAGUUGAAGUUGCAUAACUUAGAUCCAUUUCCCUCCCCCGGUAAUGUAGACUAGCCCUUAGUUUCCCAAAUUCCCCCUAAGUCUCUUUCCUCUCCCUCAGCCCUUCAUUUCUCCCUCUAUCCCCUCCCCCAUCCAUCCAUGCUUCCAGUUCUCCUCCU
rnacentral:lncRNA from 1 species